rnacentral:tRNA from 1 species
GAGAGAGGCUCGAAGCUACGAAAACUGCUAAUUUUCGCGUCCUUGGUUAAACCCCAAGGCUCACUCG